rnacentral:rRNA from 1 species
AGUGAACGCUGGCGGUAGGCCUAACACAUGCAAGUCGAACGGCAGCACAGUAAGAGCUUGCUCUUACGGGUGGCGAGUGGCGGACGAGUGAGGAAUACAUCGGAAUCUACUUUUUCUUGGGGGAUAACGUAGGCAAACUUACGCUAAUACCGCAUACGACCUACGGGUGAAAGCAGUGGAUCUUCGGACCUUGCGCGAUUCAAUGAGCCGAUGUCGGAUUAGCUAGUUGGCGGGGUAAAGGCCCACCAAGGCGACGAUCCGUAGCUGGUCUGAGAGGAUGAUCAGCCACACUGGAACUGAGACACGGUCCAGACUCCUACGGGAGGCAGCAGUGGGGAAUAUUGGACAAUGGGCGCAAGCCUGAUCCAGCCAUACCGCGUGGGUGAAGAAGGUCUUCGGGUUGUAAAGCUCUUUUGUUGGGAAAGAAAAGCAGCAGGUUAAUACCCCGCUGUUCUGACGGUACCCAAAGAAUAAGCAACGGCUAACUUCGUG